UUGAACGCUGGCGGCAUGCUUUACACAUGCAAGUCGAACGGCAGCGGGGGCUUCGGCCUGCCGGCGAGUGGCGAACGGGUGAGUAAUGCAUCGGAACGUGCCCAGUCAUGGGGGAUAACUACGCGAAAGCGUAGCUAAUACCGCAUACGCCCUGAGGGGGAAAGCGGGGGAUCGCAAGACCUCGCGUGAUUGGAGCGGCCGAUGUCGGAUUAGCUAGUUGGUGGGGUAAAGGCCUACCAAGGCGACGAUCCGUAGCGGGUCUGAGAGGAUGAUCCGCCACACUGGGACUGAGACACGGCCCAGACUCCUACGGGAGGCAGCAGUGGGGAAUUUUGGACAAUGGGGGCAACCCUGAUCCAGCCAUGCCGCGUGAGUGGAGAAGGCCUUCGGGUUGUAAAGCUCUUUCGGCCGGGAAGAAAUCGUGGUCUCUAACAUAGGCCAUGGAUGACGGUACCGGACUAAGAAGCACCGGCUAACUACGU
rnacentral:rRNA from 1 species